rnacentral:rRNA from 1 species
UACGUAGGUGGCGAGCGUUAUCCGGAAUUAUUGGGCGUAAAGAGCGCGCAGGUGGUUGAUUAAGUCUGAUGUGAAAGCCCACGGCUUAACCGUGGAGGGUCAUUGGAAACUGGUCGACUUGAGUGCAGAAGAGGGAAGUGGAAUUCCAUGUGUAGCGGUGAAAUGAGUAGAGAUAUGGAGGAACACCAGUGGCGAAGGCGGCUUCCUGGUCUGUAACUGACACUGAGGCGCGAAAGCGUAGGGAGCAAACAGGAUUAGAUA